UUUCGACACACUAUCAUUAACUGAAUCCAUAGGUUAAUGAGGCGAACCGGGGGAACUGAAACAUCUAAGUACCCCGAGGAAAAGAAAUCAACCGAGAUUCCCCCAGUAGCGGCGAGCGAACGGGGAGGAGCCCAGAGCCUGAAUCAGUGUGUGUGUUAGUGGAAGCGUCUGGAAAGGCGCGCGAUACAGGGUGACAGCCCCGUACACAAAAAUGCACAUGCUGUGAGCUCGAUGAGUAGGGCGGGACACGUGGUAUCCUGUCUGAAUAUGGGGGGACCAUCCUCCAAGGCUAAAUACUCCUGACUGACCGAUAGUGAACCAGUACCGUGAGGGAAAGGCGAAAAGAA
rnacentral:rRNA from 1 species